rnacentral:rRNA from 1 species
GACGAACGCUGGCGGCGUGCUUAACACAUGCAAGUCGAACGGAAAGGCCCUGCUUGCAGGGUACUCGAGUGGCGAACGGGUGAGUAACACGUGGGUGAUCUGCCCUGCACUUCGGGAUAAGCCUGGGAAACUGGGUCUAAUACCGGAUAGGAGCCAUUUUUAGUGUGAUGGUUGGAAAGUUUUUUCGGUGUAGGAUGAGCUCGCGGCCUAUCAGCUUGUUGGUGGGGUAAUGGCCUACCAAGGCGGCGACGGGUAGCCGGCCUGGGAGGGUGGACGGCCACAUUGGGGCUGGGAUACGGCCCAGACUCCUACGGGAGGGAGCAGUGGGGAAUAUUGCACAAUGGGCGCGAGCCUGAUGCAGCGACGCCGCGGGGGGGAUGACGGCCUUCGGGUUGGAAACUCCUUUCGCUAGGGAAGAAGCUUUUUGUGACGGUACCUAGUGAAGAAGCACCGGCUAACUACGUG